UGAAACAGAGUCACGUUUCAAAUCGUGGCCCCCUUCAACCUUCAUCUUCCUUCAUCUUUCCGGUCGCGACCUCCCUCUAUCAACUCUUCUCCGAUUCAACUUCCGAUGAGACGAAUGGCGGUGGCUCAACCUUCUCUUCCAUGGCGAAACGGCGGCACGAUACACAAGCAAACGGAAGUCUUUCCAACUCUAAUUCAAAAUUUGGGUUUCGUCUUCCUUCUUCUCUCUUGCUUCGUCUUUCAUCUUCUGCUUCCGAAUUUCUUCAUUGUUUGUUGAUUUUUGAGAACGUUGACGAACCAUUGCGUAUUGCUGAGGAAUGAAGGUGAUGCGUGUUGUUCGUUGUUGAAAUGGUGAUGAAUGUUGAAGAUUUGUUGUUGAGUUCGCUAUGCUUGGUUACAGAUCCGUUGAAAUGAUGUUGUGUGGAAACUUAUGAUAGUGACAACAUCACUUCUUGUUCAGAGGUUUCAUUAUUAGUUAAACCAAACAUUUUUAUGCAUUUCAUUAUAUGAUACAAUUCCAUUUUACUUUGCUGUGUAUAUUUGAAGUUAAUGCUUCCUUUAGCUAUUGCAGUAGUAGCGUUUGUGUAUCCCUCCAACUAUACUCACUCAGGAUAUUGGUUUUCAUCGAUAGCUGCAAGGAGCCUAUUGAGCCAUUGUCAAUUGAAGAAGUAGCUGAACGUUGCCAUGCUCCAGAAGAUCUUGAAGUAAUUUACAAGAUCAUCGCGCAUAUGGCUGCCAAUGAAAGAGCACUAAUUGCUGAAGAUACUGGCCUUCAUAGCUAAGGAAAUUGUUCCUUUGCAGGAACUAAGUGGAAGUAAAUUGCAAAGUGACUCAAAUGCUAUACCACUAGUUUAUCAUGAGGGUUAGUAUUUAUGGUGAGGAUUCUCAACAAUUCCUUGUUGGGUUUGCAGAAAAUGUUCGUGCUGCAACCAUUGUGUCUGCAGCUGUGGUUCCACGUAUUACCGGUAAAUGACCUGAAACUCUUGCUUAAUAGUAUUUGUGCUGCUAUCGACGUCCACCACUGCCGCUGGUCCCAUUUGCCACUGUUCUUAACACCGACAACUAAUCUCUGAUUGACAUUGCUUUGGCGUUGGGUAAGUUCUUUUUUUUCUUUCAUUUUUUGGGAUUGUGAGAUUAGGAGCUGUUUUGAGACUGUUUUGCCACUGUUCUAAUGUUGAUUUUGAAUAUAACUCGAUUAUAAUUUUCGUGUUAUGAAUUCUCGUAAGAUCAGACUCAGAGUUGGAAGUUGUACAGCUUAUUCUCGUAAAAGCAGAAAGUUGAGGUUACUGAUAUAUCAGGUUUGAAAGCAUUUUCUCUUAUCAGCAUACAACCUGGGGUCAAUUUGUUUUAAUCUUUUUUCUUAUCACCAACUAAUAAUAAUUUAAAUUAUGUGUUUUAGACUUAAAUCAUCUCUGUUUUACUUUUAUGACUUAUUGUUGUUUCUCUGAACUUUUAAAAGCUGAGAACCAAAUUAAAUUGAAGACCUAUCUAGAAGUUAAUAUGGCUUUGAAUCCAUAUGUGAAAUCUAUUUCCCUUCAGACUUAUAUUUUUCUUCUUCAUACAAGUAGCUGUUUUACAAAAGAUUGUAAUGGAUUGUUUGCUUAUUAGGUUUUGAAAGUGAAUGUUAUCUAUACUUUGUGCUUGCGUAGUUUAUUAUUUGAAGAGAUUGUUGGAAUCUUACUGAUAGAAGCUGUAAAACAGACACUGAACUUGUUCCUCUGAGCUUAUUUGAAGGAAAUAGGGUCAGUUAAUGUUUUAUUUAAUGCUUAGUUUCUCCUGCUAUUGCUGUAUGCAGGCCACACCUAUCAAAAAUGAUUUUAGAUAGAACUGGUUUCUGCAUCAAGAUAUCUUCAAAAGCUGAGUCUCUUAUUUGGCGUAUCGAGAUUGAUGAGAAUGUGGCAAGAGAGAUUAUCAACCACAGGUCUCUUCGGCACCCGAAUAUAAUUCGCUUUAAGGAGGUGGUUUUGACUCCUACUCAUUUAGCAAUAGUGAUGGAGUAUGCAGCUGGAGGUGAACUCUUUGAGCAGAUAUGUAGUGCUGGACGGUUUAGCGAAGACGAGGCUAGGUAUUUUUUCAGCAGCUGAUAUCUGGUGUCCAUUACUGUCAUGCUAUGCAAAUAUGUCAUAGAGAUUUGAAGCUGGAAAAUACACUGUUAGAUGGAAGCCCUGCACCUCGCUUGAAAAUUUGUGACUUUGGUUAUUCCAAGUCAUCUUUGCUUCAUUCCCGACCCAAAUCAACUGUUGGAACUCCCGCUUAUAUAGCUCCGGAGUUGGCUGAUGUGUGGUCGUGCGGUGUAACCCUUUAUGUCAUGCUGGUUGGAGCAUAUCCCUUUGAUCAAGAUGACCCGAGAAAUUUUAGGAAAACAAUUCAAAUUCAGCUGGAUGUUGAUGAUAUUGAAAAUAUACUAAACAGUUUGGUUCAACUAGAUAUGGUAAAUACCCUUUAAUUUUUGUCAAAAUUGUAAAUUAUUUGAAUGAUUGUUGUCUAAUUUGAGAUUAUGGACUGUGGUUUUAAAAUGCGGCUGCGAUUACAUUGGAGCCUUUAUAUUGCGGGGAUAUGCUAUCAUUCAGCAUCAAUGGUGUCGGGCGUACGGAAGGAUCAAUGGAUGCUGCUAAUCUUUUCAAACCAAUGCUUGCUCGUGGACAACUUAGAUGCAUUGGGGCUACAAUACUUGAUGAAUAUAGGAAGUAUGUUGAAAGGGAUGCAACAUUUGAAAGGAGGUUUCACAUGUUUAAGUGGCUGAACCUAGUGUGCCCGAUACUAUUAGUAUACUUCGGGGAUUGAAAGAGAGAUACGAGGGCCAUCAUGGUGUUAGAAUUUGUUGUUGCAGCUCAGUUGUCUAGUUGGUACAUAACUGGGCGUCAUCUUCUUGACAAGGCAAUUGAUUUAGUCGACGAGGCAUGUGCAAAUGUGAGAGUUCAACUUGAUAGUUAGCCAGAAGAAAUUGACAAUCUUGAAAGGAAGAGAAUGCAACUAGAAGUGGAGCUUCAUGCUCUAGAAAAAGAGAAGGACAAAGCUAGCAAAGCCCAUCUUGUAGAUGUAAGUAUAGAUGCUGAGUUUUUAUCUUAAGUAGGAAUUCAAAUUCAAAUUUGCCAUGUAGCAUCAAAUGAUAUAUUAGACUAUGAAUACAUAUUUAUUCAAUGACUGAUAAAUAACUUAGUUAAUCAAACUUUAUUCAUUUAACCUCAGUGUUGGACAAUGGUGCAAAGUAUGUGUUUUUUUGUAGUA